rnacentral:rRNA from 1 species
UAAUACGUAGGGUGCAAGCGUUGUCCGGAUUUAUUGGGCGUAAAGAGCUCGUAGGCGGUUUGUCGCGUCGGAUGUGAAAACCCAAUGGCUUAACCUUGGGCCUGCAUUCGAUACGGGCAAACUAGAGUGUGGUAGGGGAGACUGGAACUCCUGGUGUAGCGGUGGAAUGCGCAGAUAUCAGGAAGAACACCGAUGGCGAAGGCAGGUCUCUGGGCCAUAACUGACGCUGAGGAGCGAAAGCGUGGGGAGCGAACAGG